GCAACUGGCUGAAACUUCUGUCACCCCCACCCCAUUGAUUGACAGGGUUGAUUCUGCUGAUCUGGCUGGCUAGUCGGAUGCCCCCUUCCUCCCUCACCACUCCAUGUGCAUCCCUCCCAAAACUGAAUGCUCAGUCAAAGAGGAUGACCUUCCCCGAGCAGAGGAGGACCAGUCUAUGCACCCCUGCUAGAACCUCUAAACCAGCUCUCAAGGUCCAUUUGAACAUUCCUUUUUUAAUUAAUUUUUUUCGUUUUACAAACCAACUACAGUUUCCUCUCCCUUGUUUUGUUACUGAUUUUAGUGGAAUUGCUUUGAGU
rfam:Mesocricetus auratus contig215072, whole genome shotgun sequence.